rnacentral:misc_RNA from 1 species
AGAAGAAACGCAAUUAGUUAAUGCUAAGACGGAAGAACCAAUCUCUACAUCUCUGGAAUGCUUGUAAAGACAGAAAUAAGUUGUAAUCUUUCUAUAACAAUACAUAGAUACAAGUUUACGUGAUCAGAUGAUACAUCGCAAGUAUGUUAAUAUGAGUUACACGUGACAUUAAAGUGAGAAAGUAAAAUCAAAAUGAGUCAACAACUAGUAGACACACACACAAUAACUACAUCUAUGGUAGUGCAACCUACAUAAGUGAAUUGUCCAAUGUAAAGGCUGAUGUAGGAGAUGGUGGUGCUAUUAUAUAAGCAUUAGCAGCAAUCAUUUAACAUCACAAAAAGCAAAAGUCACCCAAUCAGUUCCCCUAUGCCCAUGAAAUAGACACAUAUUUUGCAGCCUCUUCAACAUCUAUAGGUGACUCACAAGUAUGAAUGUGUAAGAAAUGAGGACAAGUAAAUGCUAUGGAAACAGUGGUGUUAUCAAGAAGGAAUGGCUUAUUAUUAUCAGAAUGCCUCCUCCUUGUGAGCAGGAAUUGAAUUUCCAGAGCAGACAGAAGAAGAUACUGUAUGAGCUGGCCAAGAAAUGGGGAGAAAGUGGGCAAUGUUAGAUGAUUGCAAAAUGUUUACAAGGAAAGACAAUAUUUAAUCCCCAUAGAUGACUUAAACUAAGGGUUCAGAUAUGAAUUCCAACAGAUUUUAUAACCAUUGCAUAAUUAAAUAAUGAUAAUCCAGCUGCAACUUAAGAUUCGACCCUGUGGCAUUAAGCAAAUCAGCAAAAGAAAAAGACAUCCACAAAAAAAAAAAACAAGACAAACAG